ensembl:lncRNA
AAGGUUGGCUGUUGGAUGAAGCAAAGAAAUAAAAAUAGGGCAGUGGGUGUCUCACUUAUGGCAGGGGAAGAAGAAGAGAUUAAUCAAAAUGGCGCAAGGAAAUAAAUGGAACCAAGGGGGAUUGAGCAAGCGGUUUUGGCUCUUGCUGAGUUAUAGGGAAUGGGUAAUACUUGUUUCUUAGGCACAACUGCCUCAUAUACCACACGUGGCUGCAGAGGUGAUGUCUUGCACAACUCUAAGGACUGCUCUUCACAAUGAUGUCAACAUAUCUUAUCUUUGUGGGAGGACAGUGCGAUGUCCAUGACUACUGAAAGGACCAGAAAAUGCUUCAGCGCUUGCGCUGUUUCGUCUUUUCAAGAAGCCAGGCAGCCGAGGAGGACUCUCUCCCCAGGAGCACAUGUGUGCUCACGUGAAAACUCUAAGCCUCCCAGAUCCACGUCUGCCAGUCUCAGUCAGCCUUCUGAAGAGUCUUUAUUCGCACUGUAAGCACUUAAUGAAGAAUCCUCAGAGUAAAUUCCUGGCCAGAGAUGGAUGGCCUGAGUUUAUUCAAAGGCCAAAUAAUUUCCAGACAUUUCUUUUGGAUGGAAGCGUGUGUCUUUCCCUUGGCAAUAAUUUCCUUGUGAGAUAUACUAUACAAUUUUCCCCAGCUUGCAAAUAGACGAUUCAGAAAUUUCAUUUGUAGGUCAGUUGUUUGGAAUGCACAAGGAAUUUUCCAUAGAAAUAAUAUUAUAAAUGGUGGUUCAGGACCCCAGCUAGCCCCCCUAACUUUUACUUGACACAUGCCUCAGUUGACGUACUGCAGUGGAGAACGUGGAAAACAAGAGCCACCAAUACCCUUUGUUAUAGAGAUGAUAUCACACAUUGGUUUGGGGUGUAGUGUCUGGGGCANNNNNACUGCACUUGGACAAACAUUAGCCGUGUGACUUUGGGCCAGUUACCUAACUUCUCAGUUUCUUUGUCCACAGAAAGGGGACGAUAUUGAGAUCUAGUUCACAGAACGGUUGUGUAAGAAUUACACAUACACACACAUCCCCCUAGAAUGGUUCCUGGAACCCAGUAAAUGUAUUGAGACCCUUUGCUAUCAUCAUUGUCGGUUCUAGUAAUUGGCAUGGUGCUGAGUCUGUUUCAAUCAUCGACUGGACAAAAAGCAAUACUCGUGGAAUAUUAAUUGCAAAAUCAAAAAAAGAUGGUAUUUUCCCCCUCAUAGUUACUGCUGUUUGAUUAAAAUAAGGUAACUUAGGGAAAAAGAGGAAACAGAUGGAUAUUGAUGUUGAAUGAUAAGAUGUUUUCAAUGAAAUAUUGACCUUAAAAAAGCUAGGUUUGGGAGGGAUAAUUUAGGAGUUUGGGAUUAACAGACACAUACUACUAUCUGUAAAAUAGAUAAACAACGAGGUCCUACUGUUUAGGGUAGGGAACUAUACUCAAUAUUUUGUAAUAACCUACAAGAGAAAAAAAAAACAGAAAAUAAUAUAUACAUAUAUGUAUCAUUGAAUCACUUUGCUGUAUACCCAAACUAACAGCAUUGUUAACCAACUAUACUUCAAUAAAAAAAUAACAACAAACAAAAAUACAGUAUAAAAAGGCAUUCGUUUUGUUUAUUAUAAAUAGUUUGGAAAACAUAGAAAAG